CGGGACACGUGGUAUCCUGUCUGAAUAUGGGGGGCCCAUCCUCCAAGGCUAAAUACUCCUGACUGACCGAUAGUGAACCAGUACCGUGAGGGAAAGGCGAAAAGAACCCCGGCGAGGGGAGUGAAAAAGAACCUGAAACCGUGUACGUACAAGCAGUGGGAGCACGCUUAGGCGUGUGACUGCGUACCUUUUGUAUAAUGGGUCAGCGACUUAUAUUCUGUAGCAAGGUUAACCGAAUAGGGGAGCCGAAGGGAAACCGAGUCUUAACUGGGCGUUAAGUUGCAGGGUAUAGACCCGAAACCCGGUGAUCUAGCCAUGGGCAGGUUGAAGGUUGGGUAACACUAACUGGAGGACCGAACCGACUAAUGUUGAAAAAUUAGCGGAUGACUUGUGGCUGGGGGUGAAAGGCCAAUCAAACCGGGAGAUAGCUGGUUCUCCCCGAAAGCUAUUUAGGUAGCGCCUCGUGAAUUCAUCUCCGGGGGUAGAGCACUGUUUCGGCAAGGGGGUCAUCCCGACUUACCAACCCGAUGCAAACUGCGAAUACCGGAGAAUGUUAUCACGGGAGACACACGGCGGGUGCUAACGUCCGUCGUGAAGAGGGAAACAACCCAGACCGCCAGCUAAGGUCCCAAAGUCAUGGUUAAGUGGGAAACGAUGUGGGAAGGCCCAGACAGCCAGGAUGUUGGCUUAGAAGCAGCCAUCAUUUAAAGAAAGCGUAAUAGCUCACUGGUCGAGUCGGCCUGCGCGGAAGAUGUAACGGGGCUAAACCAUGCACCGAAGCUGCGGCAGCGACGCUUAUGCGUUGUUGGGUAGGGGAGCGUUCUGUAAGCCUGCGAAGGUGUGCUGUGAGGCAUGCUGGAGGUAUCAGAAGUGCGAAUGCUGACAUAAGUAACGAUAAAGCGGGUGAAAAGCCCGCUCGCCGGAAGACCAAGGGUUCCUGUCCAACGUUAAUCGGGGCAGGGUGAGUCGACCCCUAAGGCGAGGCCGAAAGGCGUAGUCGAUGGGAAACAGGUUAAUAUUCCUGUACUUGGUGUUACUGCGAAGGGGGGACGGAGAAGGCUAUGUUGGCCGGGCGACGGUUGUCCCGGUUUAAGCGUGUAGGCUGGUUUUCCAGGCAAAUCCGGAAAAUCAAGGCUGAGGCGUGAUGACGAGGCACUACGGUGCUGAAGCAACAAAUGCCCUGCUUCCAGGAAAAGCCUCUAAGCAUCAGGUAACAUCAAAUCGUACCCCAAACCGACACAGGUGGUCAGGUAGAGAAUACCAAGGCGCUUGAGAGAACUCGGGUGAAGGAACUAGGCAAAAUGGUGCCGUAACUUCGGGAGAAGGCACGCUGAUAUGUAGGUGAAGUCCCUUGCGGAUGGAGCUGAAAUCAGUCGAAGAUACCAGCUGGCUGCAACUGUUUAUUAAAAACACAGCACUGUGCAAACACGAAAGUGGACGUAUACGGUGUGACGCCUGCCCGGUGCCGGAAGGUUAAUUGAUGGGGUCAGCGCAAGCGAAGCUCUUGAUCGAAGCCCCGGUAAACGGCGGCCGUAACUAUAACGGUCCUAAGGUAGCGAAAUUCCUUGUCGGGUAAGUUCCGACCUGCACGAAUGGCGUAAUGAUGGCCAGGCUGUCUCCACCCGAGACUCAGUGAAAUUGAACUCGCUGUGAAGAUGCAGUGUACCCGCGGCAAGACGGAAAGACCCCGUGAACCUUUACUAUAGCUUGACACUGAACAUUGAGCCUUGAUGUGUAGGAUAGGUGGGAGGCUUUGAAGUGUGGACGCCAGUCUGCAUGGAGCCGGCCUUGAAAUACCACCCUUUAAUGUUUGAUGUUCUAACGUGGACCCGUGAUCCGGGUUGCGGACAGUGUCUGGUGGGUAGUUUGACUGGGGCGGUCUCCUCCUAAAGAGUAACGGAGGAGCACGAAGGUUGGCUAAUCCUGGUCGGACAUCAGGAGGUUAGUGCAAUGGCAUAAGCCAGCUUGACUGCGAGCGUGACGGCGCGAGCAGGUGCGAAAGCAGGUCAUAGUGAUCCGGUGGUUCUGAAUGGAAGGGCCAUCGCUCAACGGAUAAAAGGUACUCCGGGGAUAACAGGCUGAUACCGCCCAAGAGUUCAUAUCGACGGCGGUGUUUGGCACCUCGAUGUCGGCUCAUCACAUCCUGGGGCUGAAGUAGGUCCCAAGGGUAUGGCUGUUCGCCAUUUAAAGUGGUACGCGAGCUGGGUUUAGAACGUCGUGAGACAGUUCGGUCCCUAUCUGCCGUGGGCGCUGGAGAACUGAGGGGGGCUGCUCCUAGUACGAGAGGACCGGAGUGGACGCAUCACUGGUGUUCGGGUUGUCAUGCCAAUGGCACUGCCCGGUAGCUAAAUGCGGAAGAGAUAAGUGCUGAAAGCAUCUAAGCACGAAACUUGCCCCGAGAUGAGUUCUCCCUGACCCUUUAAGGGUCCUGAAGGAACGUUGAAGACGACGACGUUGAUAGGCCGGGUGUGUAAGCGCAGCGAUGCGUUGAGCUAACCGGUACUAAUGAACCGUGAGG
rnacentral:rRNA from 1 species